rnacentral:rRNA from 1 species
GAUGAACGCUGGCGGCGUGCCUAAUACAUGCAAGUCGAGCGAACAGACGAGGAGCUUGCUCCUCUGACGUUAGCGGCGGACGGGUGAGUAACACGUGGAUAACCUACCUAUAAGACUGGGAUAACUUCGGGAAACCGGAGCUAAUACCGGAUAAUAUAUUGAACCGCAUGGUUCAAUAGUGAAAGACGGUUUUGCUGUCACUUAUAGAUGGAUCCGCGCCGCAUUAGCUAGUUGGUAAGGUAACGGCUUACCAAGGCAACGAUGCGUAGCCGACCUGAGAGGGUGAUCGGCCACACUGGAACUGAGAAACGGUCCAGACUCCUACGGGAGGCAGCAGUAGGGAAUCUUCCGCAAUGGGCGAAAGCUUGACGGAGCAACGCCGCGUGAGUGAUGAAGGUCUUCGGAUCGUAAAACUCUGUUAUUAGGGAAGAACAAAUGUGUAAGUAACUAUGCACGUCUUGACGGUACCUAAUCAGAAAGCCACGGCUAACUACGUG